GAAGCUGCUGGAGAAGCUAUUUAGGCAAUCAACGCAGUUACAAGAAGAAUGGGUCCCAGUCCAGUCAGCAUUCGUUUACAAGCAUCGACAUUUUCAGUGAUUACACCGGUGAUCGUCCAUUUCUUCAACCUCUGCUCUCAUUCCUACGGUUGCACCUUGCCUUUCCCGGGUGCUCAAGAACCCAACUGCAAAAGCACCGAUGGUUAUUGCGCCGUUGACAGUGACUGUUGCUGUCCAAUGAUCUGCGAUUUUUUUGGGCGGACGUGUCAGCACCGUGUCGCCCCUGUCUUUCCAGCUAUAGUUGACCCAUUUUUAGAAGAACGUGAAGACGUCGCAGUUAAUAGCCCGGACCAUGUCAGACCAGGAACGCCAGAAGAUGUUCAUGGCAGGCUGCCUUCGUUUAAGCGAGGAGCACAGGGCAACGGGCAACUUCGAUUUAGGCGAUCUUUGUCUGGACCACGUGACGAAAAACAUUUUAUAAUAAGGACGUCGUCACCCGUGCCAGAAGUACGUGACAGCAAACAUUUUAGAACGGCGUCUUCGCCUAGACCAAUUGACAAGCGUGUCAAGUUUAUGUGGCCUUUGCCCCUACCAGGUGCGCGUGGUCUAUAAUUUCCGCACGUUUUUCUAACUCGUGGCAAACAAGAUUUCCGUUGACCAAUAUUCAGCAGCGUAACAGUAAGAUAUGUACAUCUAUUAAAAAUGCUUUGGCAUGGA